rnacentral:lncRNA from 1 species
UGCCAGGCCCUGGGUCAUGCCUCAGAACUGGAAGGGUGAAGGCACUCUGCUUCAGCCACCGGAUAUUAGGGCCUGUACUUUGCACAGAGAAGCAUGAAGGAGUCUGAGAUACCGUUAGUAGGAAUAACAAAUGCCCACCACAAUCCAUCACUUAGUCCCACACGAACAGUCUUCUUCACCCUGAAUGCUCCUGCCUACAAAUGAAACCAUCCCUUCUACAGCUGUAUUAUUUCUCAUCCCCUUCCUCUAAAAGGUAACAACAAAACCAAAUCUCACCAGGUUCCGCACUCCGCUCAUGCUCUGGAUAUCCGAAGGAGGACUUCCCUCUUUUCAUUUAUUUUAUUCCCCUUUCAUUUCUAGAAAAGAAAUAACUGUAUUGAUACUCUGUAUAAUCUGUAUAUCCUAUAGGUUUGACUGUAAAGGGAGCUACUGCCAACUCAUUGUGUACAAAAUAACGUGGGGAGGAGAAAGAAAAGAGGAGAAAUGGUUAAAAUACGAACAUGAUACUGGAUGGAAGACAGGAGAACCCCAAAGAGCUGGGCAGUUUCCUGCUGUCCCACCACUGGUCUCCGACAGGGCCUACUAGCAAGCCCAGAGACAUCAUUCAAAGCCAUGGAGCUCGUCCUUCAAAGGAAAUUUUACAGACUUGUAAACAAAUCAAAUACAAACAAGGGUCCCUGCAUGAAGGCAAGGGUGACAGCUUGGAGACCCAUCCAAUUGGCUUGCUGGAGAUUUCCAUGAAAUCCCAAAGGUUCCUUGGAACACCGUUGAAGACUAACAAAGAAAAGUCACCAUCCUUUCAAGUUUGAGUAUCAAUGUGUCAGGUUAGUCCAAUUUUGGUCCAGUGUGAAAAUUAAUGUAGGGUCGAAGACUCGGAACCAAACUUGGCUGAACCAAGAGUGAUCAGCCCAUGGGUAAGAAUGUUCUAUUCUAUUAACAUGCCUCAGCAACACUUUCCGAAGCUCUUCGGGCUUAUUGGUGGCAAAAUUUCCUCCUUACUAAUGUAACACGCCGAGUGCUUUCCGAAAUCUUGAAUAACAUUGCUCUCCUUUUCAUAAAAACUGAAUGGUUAUUUUUGAAAUGUAACCACGUGUCAGGAUUGGAGAUAUUGUGGUUGGCAAGACAGACUCAACCCCUUCCCUGAAAGGAGCCGUCCACAGAAAUAAAUACCGCCGGAGAAGACCUCGUGAAGUCUAG